AUGAGGCUGCAGCCUGCCGACCAAGACACGUCUAUGACCAGUGCGCGCGAACGCCCAGAGCCAGCAGACACACAUCCUCCUGUGUUGGAGGUCCCCACAGGUUAUUGCUCAGUCAAGCUCACCUCACCUUCCAGCUCCUCCAAGAACCCAGUUGGAAACCACCAGGCUGAAAGAUUAACCAUGCUCGCUGCUGGUGCAAAGAUGAAGACAUGAGAUCCCAUAUAGGCCCCUUGGAUUCCAGCCCAAGCUAGAGGCAAUUUUUUUGAUGC
rnacentral:lncRNA from 1 species